CCAGACAGCCAGGAUGUUGGCUUAGAAGCAGCCAUCAUUUAAAGAAAGCGUAAUAGCUCACUGGUCGAGUCGGCCUGCGCGGAAGAUGUAACGGGGCUAAACCAUGCACCGAAGCUGCGGCAGCGACACUCAGGUGUUGUUGGGUAGGGGAGCGUUCUGUAAGCCUGCGAAGGUGGCCUGUGAGGGUUGCUGGAGGUAUCAGAAGUGCGAAUGCUGACAUAAGUAACGAUAAAGCGGGUGAAAAGCCCGCUCGCCGGAAGAC
rnacentral:rRNA from 1 species